rnacentral:rRNA from 1 species
GGUCGAAACCGGAGGAAGGUGGGGAAUGACGUCAAGUCCUCAUGGCCUUUAUGACCAGGGCUACACACGUACUACGAAUAGGCCGGUACAAAGGGCAGCGACACAGCGAUGUGAAGCGAAUCCCGAAAAGCCGGUCUCAGUCCGGAUUGGAGUCUGCAACUCGACUCCAUGAAGUUGGAAUCGCUAGUAAUCGCGGAUCAGCACGCCGCGGUGAAUACGUUCCCGGGCCUU